CCGGUUCCAGGGGCUCAUUUCAAAGAUCUGGCAGGCCACACCUUGUUCAACGGCGGGCGGGCGACUCUGUGUCGCGUGACUCCACGCUGCAAGGUCAAGAGUCCACGCUGCUUUCGUGUGGAUUCGGGAACUAAUCCCUGUGGCGUUUGUGCAUCACGGCGGGGCCUUGGCCUUUCUCAUCCUGACACGCCCAUUUUGGCCGGUGCCCUGCUGUAGGGCCACGCCCCGCGGUCGGCUGCCAUAGACCGGGGCACGGGGUGGGAGAGGGCAUGGCCUGCUGCAGGCUACCGCGUCCGCGACGUUGCCCAUCCCCUCUGCAGAUGGACUUUGUCACUGCUGCUUCCUGGCCCGGGCCUAUUUAGAUCGCAGGCAGACCCUGGAGGAAGCCCCGAAGCCAGGGAGUGCUGCCUGCGUGAGCUGGGAGGCCGCUCUAAGUGACCGGAUUUCCUAGUCCUGUGCCGGGCGACCAGCAGAGACAUGAAUUACUCACGGUUCCUCACGGCAACCAGCCUUGCCAGAAAGCCUUCCCCCAUCCGAGGAACAGUUGAGAUAAUGAGCAGGGCACCAAAAACCCUCAUCUCUCUGGCUCCUGGAUCUCCAAACCCAAGCAUGUUCCCUUUUAAGAAGGCUACUUUCACUGUGGAGAAUGGAAACACCGUCCAAUUUGAAGGAGAUGUGAUCGAAAGAGCCCUCCAGUACUCUCCAAGCUAUGGAAUUCCAGAACUUCUGUCCUGGCUGAAACAGUUUCAAAUAAAAUUGCAUAAUCCCCCGACGGUCCACUACCCACCCAAUCAAGGACAGAUGGAUCUCUGCAUCACAUCUGGCUGCCAGGAUGGUCUCUGUAAGGUGUUUGAAAUGCUCAUCAAUCCUGGAGACACUGUCCUCGUAAACGAACCUUUGUUUACAGGAACCCUUUUUGCUAUGAAACCUUUGGGUGGCAACAUUAUUAAUGUCCCCAGUGAUGAGCAUGGGAUUAUUCCAAAGGAUCUCAAAAGAAUACUUUCCCAGUGGAAACCAGAAGAUUCCAAAGAUCCUAUGAAAAAGACUCCAAAAUUUCUCUAUACCGUCCCAAAUGGCAACAACCCUACAGGCUACUCGUUGACAGUUGACCGCAAGAAGGAAAUCUAUGAGCUUGCAAGGAAAUAUGAUUUCCUCAUAAUAGAAGACGAUCCUUACUAUUUUCUCCAGUUCAACAAGCCAUGGGUACCAACCUUUCUCUCCAUGGAUGUCGAUGGGCGUGUGAUCAGAGCUGACAGCUUCUCCAAGAUUAUCUCCUCUGGGUUGAGAGUAGGGUUUAUGACUGGCCCCAAGUCCUUGAUAGAGAGGAUUGUUUUACAUACACAAGUUUCAUCACUGCAUCCCUGCACUUUCUCACAGCUAAUGAUAUCACAGCUUCUGUACCAAUGGGGAGAAGAGGGCUUCCUCGCUCAUGUUGACAGAAUCAUUGACUUCUACAAGGACCAGCGGAGUGCAAUAUUAGCAGCUGCAGACAAGUGGUUAAGUGGUUUGGCCGAGUGGCACGUUCCCAAAGCUGGGCUGUUUCUGUGGAUUAAAGUAAAGGGAAUCCCCGAUACAAAACAACUGAUAGAAGAAAAGGCUAUCGAAAAAGAGAGGUUUAUUCCAUUAUCAUCAUGGUAGAACAUGGUGCUGGAGAAGUAGCUGAGAGUCCUACGUCUUGGAGGCAACAGGAAGUGGACCGAGACACUGGGUGAUAUCUUAAGCAUAUAUAUAUGAGACUUCAAAGCCCUCCUUCACAGUGACACACUUCCCCCAAAAAACCUCCAAAUAGUACCAUUCCCUUUGGGGGCCAUUGUAGCAGGCUUUUUUGCACUGCCAGCCCCAAAAUCAUGAUACAGAGAUUUAUUAUUAAUUAUAAAAGUUUGGCCUAUAGCUUAGGCUUGUUUCUAACUAGCUCUUAUAACUUAAAUUAACCCAUUUCUAUUCAUCUACAUGUUGCCACAUGACUCAUGGCUUUUACCUCUCCUCCUGUAUGUCUUGUCCUCUCUGCAUCAGGCUGGUGAAUCUCUUUCUUUUUCCCAGAGCUCUCUGUCCCCAGAAGUCCUGCCUAACCUCUUCCUGCCUAUCUAAUGACCAUUCAGUUUUUUUUACUAAUCCAGUCACAGUGGUGCGUCUUCACACAGUGUAAAGGAAUAUUCUGUAACAGGCCAUUUUUGUUCAAACCACCACACCUGGUAAGCAGGUAAGGCUUGCUGUGCUAAGCCUGCCAACUGGCCUGAAUUCAGUCCUGGAACUCACACAAAAGUGCAGGAGAGGAUCCAACUCCACAGACUUGUCCCCACACCACCACACGCACACCAUCGCUUGCACACCCACACACAUUCACUCAUUCACUCAUGGGGAAUCCUGCCCCAUCAAGUCCAAGUCCUGGUCAUGAUUAGCUGGCGCCUGUGUAAACUAGUACCCGUCACUUUGAUAUGCACACGGUGAAUGCUUGGGAGUCAGUCACCGUUAGUACUGGAUAUGGAAGGACUUUUUUUCCUGAGCAUGAAAAUAAACUAUGCUCAUUGUAAGAAAUUUGGAAGAUACAUUAAAAAAAAAUAACAAAAAUGAAAUUCCCCAUCAUUUUAUUACCCAGACUUUAUGAACAUCUGUGUUGUGUUUUCUACAAGAGCUUGCAUAUAUUCUAACUUUUUGACUAAUUAUUUUAUAUGACUAAAAUUAAAAAGAAAGUAAAAUUAAGUCAUGCAGGUUUUCAUUUUCCCUCUCAUACUUAAAUCACAAGUUUUCUUAACCUUCACUGGUAGGCACUGAGGAAACUCAAAACUCUAAAUGAAAUUUUCUGUACAGCUUUUCAGCUGGCCGAUUAAAUUGUUCCUUCUCCCCAUUUCUUCCUUUAUUGUGUUUAUCGGGUUGUCUCUGUAAGCCCUGAGAUCUGUUUCCAGAAUCACUUUUGUCUAGAUUGUGACUCUAAAAGAACAGAUUGGGUUGACAGUGGCAAGACACCAUGCAGGUACAUUAGAGACAAGUCCUGCCACAGUUAGCUCCAGAGCUAGACUGCCCAGGUAGGACUUGUGUUUUGCUCAUUCUACAUAUCCUAGUUGCUACACAGAGUAGGUACUUCAUACAUACAUGCAUAUAGCUUCUUUCAAAUGAAUUCACUUUAAUAUACUUGGUUAAUUUGAUUUUUUCUUCAGUUUUAUUUUUUUUUCUGUCAAUGCCAUCAUUAUUAUUAACUUUUGGUGUCUGUUUGAAUGCAUCCGUGAGCCAAAUGGGAAGGAUGGAGACUGAUAUGAAACAGCAUUGGUCAUAUUGAUGGUCUUAUUUGUUCCUGGAAAUGGUUUCUUCAUCAACAACUCAGCCCCCACUUCCUUCUUCAGAGCGUCCUUCUCUCUGGCUAGUCCAGAGCAGAUGGAUAUAGCCUUCAAGAGA